GUUCUGCAUGACAGUGCUUGUGUCUUUAACACGUCUUUUGUGCGGCAAGUUCUGCCCUAAGCUUUGCUAUGGAUCUCCCAUCGAGGUCAAUGGAUGUGGUCUCUCCUACCAGGUCCAAGAUGUUGCCAUAUCAAUGCUACAUCUGGAUAGCGGGAUUCACAGGACCUGUUGGGCACAGCUUCCUCUCCCUCCCUGAAGGGGCAGGCAUGGGAUGCUUCCUGCCCUCCACGAG
rnacentral:lncRNA from 1 species